CUUGCCUGACUUCCAUUUUGCCGCCUUACCUCUCCAACACCCUCCUUCAAAUUCCCACACUAGUUUGGCCUUGAACUUUCUUGCUCUUCGUGAGAUAUGUGGAAAGAAUUUUUUGCCUUUAUUUCGUGUUCUUGUUGCCAAGCUUAAUGACGCUGCUUCUUAUUCAAAUCCUCCUGUUACAUGCAUACUUUCUGAUGCUAUUUUGAGUUAUAGCUUAGAACUCUCCCAAGAACUUGACAUUCCUAAUGUAUUCCUUUGGAAUAUGGGAGCUUCUGGGUUUAUGAGCUUUAAGCAUUCUCGCAAUCAAAUCAAGCAAUGUCUCACUUUUCUCAAAGAUCCAAGCAAUGAAAUAGCUGCAAAUAAUAAGAAUUUGG
rnacentral:misc_RNA from 1 species